GUCAGAAGGUUCUGCCUUAGCCACAGUCGUCGCGGAUGCCACUUCUCAUCCCUCUCUUUUCGGUUUCUCCGAGAUUCUCUCCGUUCCCAACGUUCUAGAGCUCGAAGGAGCUGAGAAUUCUAUUUACCUCGACUUGCUUCGGAUGUUUGCUCAUGGAACAUGGACUGAGUAUAAAAGCAUGAUUAUUUUCC